UAUGGUACUACAGAGGCAUGAAGGUUGUCGCUGACCUUUCUGAAAGGUCGUGCACGCCGGAGUGCUCUCACACACAAUCCACCUCACCACUUGUGCACCACCAUGCGGAGGCCCCUUGCUCUUGGCUCGCUUCGAGAGGGGGGAGGCUUUCGUCUUUUUUUACACACACACAAUACAGUCUGGUAGUAUAGAAUGUGAUUCAUUUGCGAUAACACGCAAUCAAUACAACUUUCAACAACGGAUCUCUUGGCUCUCGCAUCGAUGAAGAACGCAGCGAAAUGCGAUACGUAAUGUGAAUUGCAGAAUUCAGUGAAUCAUCGAAUCUUUGAACGCACCUUGCGCCCCUUGGCAUUCCGAGGGGCACACCCGUUUGAGUGUCGUGAAAUCUUCAAAACCCUUUUUCUUUAAAGGGUCUUUGGACUUGGAGGUUCAAUGCUUGCCUUGAAAGCGAGCUCCUCUCAAAUGAAUUAGUGGGGUCCGCUUUGCUGAUCCUUGACGUGAUAAGAUGUUUCUACGUUUUGGGUUUAGCACUGUCCCUUGGAUGCCUGCUCCUAACUGUCUCAUGGACAAUGAUGGUGCUCUGGUCACCGGCCGUCUACAUCGGCGGGGGGCUGGACCCACAAAAAGAAAACCUUG
rnacentral:misc_RNA from 1 species